rnacentral:tRNA from 1 species
GGGGUUGUGGCUCAGUGGUAGAGCACUCGCCUGGCAUGUGCGAGGCCCUGGGUUUGAUUCUCAGCACCA